rnacentral:rRNA from 1 species
UACGGAGGAUGCGAGCGUUAUCCGGAUUUAUUGGGUUUGAAGGGUGCGUAGGCGGACGCUUAAGUCAGCGGUAAAAUUGCGGGGCUCAACCUCGUCGAGCCGUUGAAACUGGGUGCCUUGAGUGGGCGAGAAGUACGCGGAAUGCGUGGUGUAGCGGUGAAAUGCAUAGAUAUCACGCAGAACUCCGAUUGCGAAGGCAGCGUACCGGCGCCCUACUGACGCUGAAGCACGAAGGCGUGGGUAUCGAACAGG